UCCAGGCCCUACGGGGUGCAGCAGGCGCGAAACCUCCGCAAUGUGAGAAAUCGCGACGGGGGGAUCCCAAGUGCCAUUCUCAACGGGAUGGCUUUUCAUUAGUGUAAAGAGCUUUUGGAAUAAGAGCUGGGCAAGACCGGUGCCAGCCGCCGCGGUAACACCGGCAGCUCUAGUGGUAGCAGUUUUUAUUGGGCCUAAAGCGUCCGUAGCCGGUUUAAUAAGUCUCUGGUGAAAUCCUGCAGCUUAACUGUGGGAAUUGCUGGAGAUACUAUUAGACUUGAGAUCGGGAGAGGUUAGAGGUACUCCCAGGGUAGAGGUGAAAUUCUGUAAUCCUGGGAGGACCGCCUGUUGCGAAGGCGUCUGACUGGAACGAUUCUGACGGUGAGGGACGAAAGCUAGGGGCGCGAACCGGAUUAGAUACCCGGGUAGUCCUAGCUGUAAACGAUGCGGACUUGGUGUUGGGGUGGCUUUGAGCUGUCCCAGUGCCGAAGGGAAGCUGUUAAGUCCGCCGCCUGGGAAGUACGGUCGCAAGACUGAAACUUAAAGGAAUUGGCGGGGGAGCUCCACAACGCGUGGAGCCUGCGGUUUAAUUGGAGUCAACGCCGG
rnacentral:rRNA from 1 species